rnacentral:rRNA from 1 species
GACGAACGCUGGCGGCGUGCUUAACACAUGCAAGUCGAACGGAAAGGCCCUGCUUUUGUGGGGUGCUCGAGUGGCGAACGGGUGAGUGACACGUGAGUAACCUGCCCUUGACUUUGGGGUAACUUCAGGAAACUGGGGAUAAUACAGGAUAGGAGCUACUGAUGCACGGUGGGGGUUGGAAAGUUUCGGCGGUGGGGGCUGGACUCGCGGCUUAUCAGCUUGUUGGUGGGGUAGUGGCUUAACAAGGCUUUGACGGGUAGCCGGCCUGAGAGGGUGACCGGCCACAUUGGCACUGCGAUAGGGCCCAGACUCCUACUGGCGGCAUCGGUGGGAAUCAUUGCGCAAUAGGCCGAAGCCUGAGGCAGCGACGCCGGGUUCGUGAUGUCGGCUUUUCGGUUGUAAACCGCUUUCUCCUGUGACGAAGCGGGAUUGACGGUACUGGAUAAAGAAGCACCGGCUAACUACGUG